UCUGAUUCUCUCUGUAUGUGCCCCCACCCCUCCCCCAACACACACACACACACACACACACACACACACACACACACACACACACACCUGUUCUCUGAUGGCUCCAGCUCUUUUUAGGUAAGCUUUUAGGAAAUGCCCUGGGUUGCUUUGGCUUGUCUGAGAUGCUUCAGUACAAGGAGAAGAGAAGGGGAAAUGCUAGCUCUGCCUUCAGGCUCCUCCCUUAUGUGAGGCAGAAAAAAAGAGAAAGUUAAACAAGAGUGAGAGAGGCCAAAGAAAGGAGGUAGUGGUGCUCAGACAUGCAAGAAACUGCAGAAGAGAUCACAUUUUUGUGUUUGAAAGGAUCACAUUUGGGGGAAGUAGGAACCGGAGGUGUUGAAGAUUAAGAUUAUGGGAGACAAAACAAUUGAUUGGGUCUUUGAAAUCUUGCCAAGAGCCAAGAACCCGGACUAGUGACAGAGGGACUAGCCAGAUCUCUAGGGUUGAUUCCCCGGUUGAUCUUUUUGAAAGAGAAAGUGUGGGGAUCCUACAUGAAGAUGUGGACUCCAGAGGUCUCUGUCUGCCCUGCCUCUGCCAGACCCAGACAACAGACUCAAUGUGAUGGCCAUUCACAGAGAAAGUAUAUUGCUUAUCGUUAUUGAGGGACAUUAGGCUGAUCAAUAAAGUAUGCAUGUAUCUUAUGGACAUGGGAGGCUACAAAGGCUUCAGGAAUCAGCAAAAUGCCUGCAGUGGAAGCCAAGGGUUAGGCUGAGCUGAGGAAACUGAAUGGCUUUCCAAAUCCCAGGAAUGGAACAUAAGUGGCAAAUUAGUGCACGUUGCAACCGGAGGCAACCAGCAAAACCAGCCAUUGAAAGGCAUGAGGUUUAGCAUUGUGAUCAUUACGUGCCUGAAGAGUGUCUAUGUAUCUUAAAUAUAGACUUGAGUUGUUGCUCUUUUAUGCUUUCACACAACAAUUUCAAAGAAAUGGUUGGGCGUUGUUGACUAUCUGUCCAUUUAAGAAAAAAAAAUAAAUAAAAAAGAAAGGAGGAAAAUUUCACAAGAAGCCUCACCUGCGCUCAUUCACGAGAGUGUGUGUGGAUGCCAGACAAUUGGCCGAAGAACCACAUUGCACCCAAGGUCUCACUUCUUCACAGUCCCACCUUGAUCUGCCCCCCCCCAACACUUUAGAAAAUGAGCUACCUGAACUGUAGGUCUAGCAAAAGAACACACCACACACACACACACACACACACACACACACACACACACACACACACACACGUUUGAAUCGGUAGAGAACAAUGUCUAGUUUACCCUGACCUGAUGGUGUAUUUUUGAUCUCAUUAGUAGUCAGGGAGAUGUCUCUGUGCAUCCGGUGUUGCUAGUCCGGGAGGAGACAUGCUACACAACACCGAGAGAGCAAGCGCGAGAAUAUUAGAAGAGGCUUGUCUUCAAGAUAUGGAAGGAAGUGAGAGAUGACAUUGCUUCAAGCUUUGUAUGCGAGAGCCUGGUGGGGUGGGGGGAGAGGCAAGGGAAGCCAAGCGGAUUCUCAGAAAAGGGGGGACGCCAUCAAAGAGCUAAAGGUGAUUAGAGGGGGAUAUCGAUUCCUUUCUCUGCCAGAGGUUUAAGCAGGCAUGUGAGGAAUCUGCACCACGGUUGGCAGAAAGACCCAUUGCCUCCUGUAACCAGACACUGGGGCUUUCCAGGAGCCCAGGGAGAGAGCCGAGAAGAAAGGGGGCAGUGUGGUCUAGGAAAAUCCAACUUGUCGCUGAUUUGUGCCUGAUGCUUGCUGUCCGUCAGCAGCCUCCCUUACAUGCUUUUUUCCUCUCUCUCCUUUUUUCUCCCCUUGCCUUCUUCUUCAGCGAAGCCUAGGGGAGCCAGUAAAGAUUAAAUGUGCUUUCUCAAAGGCAGCCACUUCAUGCUGCUAUGUCGAAAGGGCUAUUAUUAUUAAUAAUAUGAGAGAGAGAGAGAGAGAGAGAGAGAGAGAGAGAGAGAGAGAGAGAGAGAGAGAGAGGAGACUAGGUAUGAUGAUGACGGACUGGCUCUUUGGAGAGGAAAAGGGGAAGGAGAGGAAGAGGAGAGACGGCGAGCUGAACGGAGAACUGUACAUGAGCAGGACCUACAGAGGUGAGGAAAAGAAGUUGUGUGUGGGUGUUCUAAACAGAACAGUUCUAAAAGGUCCCUGUACAGAGGGAAAGAGACGGCUUAGAAGGCUGGCUGGUGUGAGUCUAGUUCUUCUGGUGGGGAGGAGGCGAGCCUGGAGCUCUUCACUAUUUUUUCUUUCUUUCUUUCUUUUUUCUUGUCUUUUUUUUUUUUUUUUUUGCUCGGAGUAGAAGGGCCCCCUCCAGUGUCUUCCUUAGGCCGGUGCUUUGUUAUUCUGCGUGCCCAGCCAGCCAUCUACUUUGCUCAGGCCUGGGAUAAAAGAAAGAAAGGAGGGGUGAGGGGAAAGAAAUUUUUUUAAAAGAAGCAUCUUCCCGUCGGUCCCCUCCCUUUCGGUUCUUUUUUUUUUUUUUUUUUUUUUUUUUGAGUCUGCACAGGAAAGCUCAGCUUCCAGGCAGAGGAGGUUGGGGAGAGGGACUCUAUCAGGUACAGCACUAGUGGCUGUCUGUGAAGAUGGAGGGGGAUUAUGCCUCGGAUUCCUCUGAAAUAUUGGCCAAAGGCUUCAAAGGAUCCGCAGCGGGAGGCGAGGGUGGGGGGGAGCAUCUCCCCAGCUCGCACCCACCCCUUCCCACUUUGCGUCUACCAAAUGACAGGCUGGUGCUCGCUCUGGGUGAUUUUGGCCUUGGCCUCAGCCAAGCAGCUGAUGCAGAGGAGGGCCCGGUUUGCAAGACUGACAGAACUCUGCAUGCUAGAGAAAGAAGAAGGAAAAGAAAAAAAAAAAUUUUUUUUCCCCCAAGCAGUCCUUGGGAAAUUUUCUUGUUCUCUCUCGAUUUAUUUAUUUUUAAUUUUUUAACCGACUGUUUUCCAAAUUUGAUCAGCCCCAGCCCCUCCCUCCACUCCCACCCUACUGCCUCUCCUCCCACCCUCACGCCCCGGCCAAAGCAUAAACCAUAGAGUUACGGUCUUCUCUGGAUUUUGGAGUAUCGCUUCCUGCCCCCGCCUUCCCUCCCCGCCCCAUUCUCUGUCCUAUUGAACACCUCGCCUAGCCUAGCGCACAGCGAGCUCACAUUCUCCCCCCGGCUCUGGAUGGCGCUCCUGGAAGCUCUGCAGCCGGGCUCCACUUCAAAUGGGGUUGUACGGAGUCAGCAAUGGAUCUAAAUUUUGUGAAGGGAAGAGGCUUAGAAAGCCAGGAUGUCGCCACACUGGACCACCUGUUUGCUGCAUUUUAGUCCCGAGUCUGCAACUGAAAUUGCCUGUCAUUCUUGUUUUGCUUUGUUUUGUCUCAAGAAAGAAAAAAUACUGUGUUGCGCUCCCCUCAGUCCCUGAGACCCUAACUUGUGAUGUUUACCGUUUAAAUCCACGGGUUAGGCUCUUGGGAGCUGCGAGUCGUGCCUUUGCGUCGCUGAAGGAACUUUUUGUCUUUUAAGAAAAAGAAAAAAGAAAAGAAAAGAAAGUUUGUCAGAAGUGAUGAGAGUACACCUCUGAGGCUUCCAUUGUUAGAUGGGAUCAGGUGACCAGAGUGUGGCAGCUCCUGGCUUCUGUUGAAGUAGACUGUUAGCAUCCUGUGUUGGCUGUUAUGGACGCCUGUGUAUAUGGCUGACACUGAGGCUGGUGGAAAAUCAUCGGCAGGGUCUAUUCCUUGAGAGCAACACGCAGUACUACCAGAGCGUAACAUCAACAGCUCAGUACCUGGUGGUUGACCUCAGAACAUCUCAGCUGAAGUCCCAGCAUGCCCCAUGCCUCCAACUUUUAAACUCAACAGUUAAUCUGAAAAUUGUGCUCAAUUAAAAUGGGCAUGAGAAUAUAUUAUAUCUGCAUUGUCCACACAUGUGUUGUAUAUGGCUAGACAGUAGUUUCACUGACCUAGGUAUGAUGGAACCACUGGUUUGGAAUAAAUGAAUAGGUUAAAUAUUCAACUCUUGUAUUCAAUACAAAGGAAAAAAAAUGAAGAGACUGGGAAAGAUAAAACAUGUGUUACUUUGCAAGAUUUCUUAAAAACAAAAUGGAAGGAGUAAUACUACCUCCUUGCUUUGGUACCUCUUUAAAAAUGUUAUGCUUGGUGAAUUUAAAGGUGAUAAGAAUAGAAAUGGAUUUUCUAAAUAUCAUGGGAUGAAAGAAAUAAUUGAGUGCAUUUGAUAUUGCAUUCUUUGGGGGAAAUCAAUGCCUACGACUCUUCUUUAGAAGCUGGGAAGAUUUUUAUCAGGAUUUUAAUUCAAUUCGACAAAGCUAUUGGUAAUACCAAACCACAUGUAAAAAGGAUCCUCUCUUGAGGUAAUUGUUAGCAUUUUCUAGUUUGUAGUUUUCUGGGAUUAUAACUUUUCAUGGCAGGGUAAUUUCAGUGAUUCAGGUCAGCCUCACAUCAGGGAAGAAGGACGCGGCUUACCUUCCCUUUGUUGCAGAAAAUUCGGGCGUACAGUUUCCUUUAAACACUUUUACUCUUCUCAGCCCAGCCUUUCUCUCCAUUUUUGGAAAAUGCCUAAAUCAGCCCAGACUCCAAAUGCUUUCAUCUUUGAAAGAUUUUGUAAUGGUUGUAACCUCAUUGUACACAGAGAGAGGAAAGGGAAGGAAGCUGCUCUUCCCAUUUUUAAAUGCUUGUCUCAAUUUUACUCAUUUACCCCAAAUUACAGUCAAGAAAGCAUUUUGCAUCAGAAUGCUGAAUUGAGAAGUGUGCAACAAUUGUGCUACGUCUUUUGUUGAAACCUCUUGUACGGCUGUAAUUUAACUAUUACUUGGCAGCCUUUGAUAGAAUGUGCUUCAAAGCUUACAGUUAUUUAAGAGAUUUUGUCCAUUAGUUUAUAUAAAAUGAUUAAUGAUUCCCCAUCCCGUUUCAACUAAUGUGCAUGCAUAGCUAUGUGGAAAUUACGGUGGUGCAUCAGUUUAACUUAUGGGUAACAUAUAUUAUCACAUUAUACAUUUGAAAGAUUGGCAAACAUUUGGUGCUUUUUGAAGGCAAAAUAUGUAUGCAGCUGACAUGACAGAAAUGUGUGCAUGGAUCAAUAAAGAUAUGAUAGAUGUGAUUUCUCUGUGAUUUCAAGUGAUAGAGGGACAUAAUUCAACACAAACGUUUCAGUUUGUACUAGCAGGCACUCCUGCUUCCCCAUGUUUUCACGUGGAUUGCUCCUGUUCUCAGGCUGCUACUGUAAUGCAGGUUGGCCAGGCAUUCAGCAGUGUGUACGACACAACAGAUUUCUAUAUUUCAGCAGGCAACUGCUUCGGCGCAAGGGCAGGGUUCUCAACACCCCCUCUUCCUCAUGGAGCCCAUCAGCGGAGUUCAGUGAAAUGAAUAACAUAAUUGGUGGUUGGUUCAAUCACUACCAGUCUAGACUAGCCCAGACGCAUCAAUUAGAGGGGACUGUCUUUUAAAGGGAGAGUGUAGCCGAAACAAGCAGGCUAUUAUUGAUACUGAUCUUUAAAAGCGCAAAUCCAGCCUGGCAGAUAAAAAAAUAAAAAAAUAAAAUAAAAAAUAAAAAGACGGUGAGCUGCAGUGGGGGUGCACUGGGGGAAGAAAAGAGACCCAGGGAACUGGAGCUGGGGUGCAGAAGGACAGGAAGCUGAAGAGAAAGGGGGGAUAAUGAGUGGAAUGCAGUCUUGUACCUCCUUGGAGCACAGUUACAAUUCAGUUCACAGGGUGCAGUGGCUCACCGUAUUUUUAACUAGCAUGCACACACACACACACACACACACACACACAAACACACACACACACCCCUUCACUAACACAACCACCUCCUUUAAAAAAAGUCUUCUUUUUUGCCAGCUUAAAACCAAAGCAGUUGAAAUCUAACAGCUUUAAGAAGCCGCACUGAUAACAAGAAGAACCAGCUGAAACCUCUUUUGCAAUAUUUACCCAAAAGAAAAAUAUGUUAAAUGCUUAAUUUUCAAAUCUCUAUUUUUUUUAUUUUAUUUUGUUUCAAGAGAGCAAACUAGAGAAGAGUGCUCAUUUUUAAAAUCUGAUACUGGAACCAAUUUUAUGGGCAAAACACCUUUAUACAAAAAGUUUACAGUUUCCCAUUGAAUACAGUAAAGUAAGAAUAAUGUAACAAAAGGCUUUGGUGAUUUGGUAGUUUUUUUUUCUUCUCUCCUCUUCUUCUUUUCUGAGGGAGAAAAACAGAUGAUUUAGAAAGUGUUAGGAACAUAUCAAGCCCCAGGGAAAGAAAACGUUUGAUUGGUAUUAAUUAAAACACUGCUAAUAUAUUCUAAUAAAAUCAGAUUUAACAUUCUAAACUAAUCCGCCUAGCAUGUCAAAGGCAAUGAAAAGUAUUAUCUUUCUUAUUUGCAUCUAGACAACUCGAAUGCAUUUGCUCAUUCGGCAGAAUUAAUUUCUUCCACCAGUCUAUUAAAUCUCCUCACAGAUUUGGUCAAACUUAUUCUUUGAGACUAGAAGGGAGUGGGGUGGGGAAUCCAUGGAAGGUAUUUGGAAGACUAGUGACUGUAUUUAGGGCCGAGUUUCUGACUGCCUGUAGUCUUUUCUCUUCCUUCGCUGUAAUGGGGUGUGGAGAACAGCGGGGAUUGCACAGUGAUAAAUGGCUCAGGGUUUUUUUUUCUCCCCCUUUCUCUCCUUCUACCUGCUGGCUUAUUUAAAAUUUUCAGUUGCCAAAUUAUAUGAAUGGCAUUUAUUCUGUGCGGUCAGCCUGCUCAUCAGCAUCUAAUUUUUGUUUUCUAAUUUCAGAAUUCAUGCUAUCACAGAUUCCUAAUGGAAAAUAAAUAAAUAAAUAAAUAAAUAAAUAAAUAAAUAAAUAAAUGUCCUUAUAACCAGAAACCCAUCAUCUUUUCUCGGCUAUUUUUUUUUUUAAUUUUAACUUCAAUCCUAAGGGCAAGUGAGGAAAGGAAUGUAAAAUUUUAUUCACCAAGAGCUGAGUUCUUUGUUCUAUUUUUAAGUCAAAUAUUUCUCUGGAAGAAUUCCAUAUUUUUUUGGAGCAUGGCGUUUUAGCUCUUUAUUGCUAAGCUCACCCAACUGAUAAUAUUGUCCUCAGCUGGUAUUAUAGCUAAAAUGUUUCGCCUGUCACCAGUCUCCCGAAACUAUGAUAGCCCAUGCAAAUAUGAGGCUAACACAAAAAGAUGAAUGGGCCGGAAAUGCUGAAGACCAUAUGGGUGUGUUUCCACAAGGAGGGAGUCCUCAGGCUGUGGAGAGGUGGACUGACUGCAGUCUGCACAGGGGAGGUGGCUGCAGACUUCUUCCUCCAUUGCCUUUUCAAGUCUCCAAGGUAAAAGAGCAACCGCGGUUUGGUUUCACUUGUAUUGUUCUAUAAUCCAGGCAAUAAAUGCUAAUUAGUAAUGCUCAAGGAUCCGACCAUUCAGAGUAAUUAUCAUAAUUUACUUCUUCCUCGUUAAAGACAUUCCUUGCUGAUUUAAAAAAAAGAAAAAAAAAAAGUCAUCCCUUCCCCAUGGCAUUGCAGUGAGGAUUCACUAGAGAGACGUUCAAGGUACACUCAGAGCCUCCAGGCUGCAUUUGAAGUCACCGACAUGUGCUGUGCCUUAUUCAGAAUGGAACUGCAGCUUGAUUUCUACGAUGAAAUUCAUAUAAAUGCAUCAGAUUCUGCACAUGCACAGGAAUGUAUGAUUUUAUUUUACAAACCCCAAGGCUCCUCCUUCGGGUCCCACCCCUUUUUCUAAAACCACUUAUGAGCUGAACAAAGGAAAGUACUAACUAUAGAGGCAUCAUUAAAUGUGAACAGUCACUGCACUGUAAAGUGUGUGCUAUGACAACAUAUUUCACUGCACAAAAGUGCAGAUAAUUAAAUAAUUCAACAGCAACCCCGACUAAUUAGCAGAAAGAUCUUUAAAGAAGAAUAAAAAAAAUGGAUCCAAUCAACUUGAAGAAUAUGCUUCAUUCUCCGAGAGAUCUCAAAUAUAUUUUAGUUCUUUGGAGAUUGAUUCAUGUAGGGCAUGAGGACAAAGCCAGUUGCUCAAAGCAGAGCUUGGAUCUUCUUUAGAUACACAAACUGGAUGUCUGUCUUCGAUGAGCUGAAUUUAGUGUAAGACUUUCCAUUUGCAGUCAAAGGUAUACAUGCCACUCAGACGCACAGGUCUCUUUUAUCUAUAGAUCUAUGACAGCCAACCCUUAGCUUUUCAGUUGGCUUCCUCAAUGUGUGUAUAGCCUCUCCCACAUUUUCUAAUGAUACAUGUUGAAGUUCCUUAUUGCUUGAAGAAAGUAUCGUGUUCACAGUACAGAUAGAAUAAGUAACUGUACUCAGUGUUGUCCAGGGUAAUACCCCCUCCCCAUUUCCUUUGUCAAGGUGUUAUUCUUAGUGUUCAUUGUUCACUGGUCCUUUAAGCAGGAGCUCCAGAUUUAACUUGAGGGCUAUAAGCACAUUAGAAGAAUAAUUCCCCUUGGAUACUGUACAGAAGGAGCCACCUGCAAAAUGUUGAUGCUGUUAUUGAAGUCUCAAGUGGAAUCAGCUUUCAAAAAAUUAGAUAUUAGAUACAUCCGAUAUAAUUUGCAAUCUGUAAUUAUACUAAUGUGCAUAGAGCUGCACGUUGCUUUACAUGUAGCCUACUUGAGUUUGUCGCCCACCCCCACCCUUGGGCAUGUCUCAUCACUUGCAAUUGCUUCUGAGUAGAAUGCUUUUUAAGCCAGCUUAUUUUUUUUUAAUUCCUUGUUAAUUAAUAUAAGAAUAAAAGGACUUUGCAGCCAGUGUGCUUGUGUGAGAAUGAAAGUGAAAAACCUAGAUGUUGAAAACUAAUGAUCCCUCGAAGGGUUGUCACUGGAGACACUUGAAUUCUUUGCAAAACAUUCGAAAUUCUUUGUGGAUUUGUUCUUUAUCCUGACUUUGGAUAACUUGGAAGCAUGGAGAACAUCAGAGUACUAAAUAUUACUUAUAAGGAGUACAUUUCCUUUGUUGGAAUUAGAGAAAUGACAUUAGGCAGAGAUAAUAGUUUUUAACUUAAUCAAAAUAAUCAAACCAUUAACAAUAAUAAACAAUUCCUUUUCUGCUUUUCCCCUCCAUUUUGCAUGUCACGUGAUGAGUAACUGGAACUCUUGUGUACUAACUUCAGUUCCCUUUUGGGGCCUCAACAUGAUUCCAGAGAUCUACUGAUGGCUCCCCUGGGGAGCCUUCUCCAGCAAGCUGCCCCAUGAAGAUCUACCUACCAAGGGGAAAAAAAAAAAAAAAAACCAGGCAGAAGCACAGUGAGUUGGCUGGUCAGUCUGGCACUUGGCUAAAUGCAAUAGGUGAUGAGAUUGUCAAGACAAACUUGGAGAAUUAUUACUGAGCAAGGCAAUGUAAGGGUCUCACUUGUAUUUCUUCUGCAUUCAAAUUACAAAAAGGAUCCCAAGAGACUCUUUUGCUGAGUAGAAGACCCCGCACCACUACUCGAUGCAAUGGUAGGUAUAGAACCAAAAAAACAAAGCUGAUCUGCAAAAUUUUUAACUCAUGACAAACAUGUGAAAUCUGUCCAUUCCCCUACUGUCUGCUGCAUGUUCAUUCCUCAAAUUUUUUAAAAUAGCACUUAUAGUAUAUAAAAGCCAUUUUUGCAUGGGUUGGGUCUGUGUAACUCCAAAGCAAUGUGGAGCUUGUUUUUUAUCUUCUCACAUAUUCUUGGUCUUUCCAUUACUCACUAUCUAUAUGAAUCAUGAAAGUACUAUAUACAGUGUUCUUUUGUAAUACAAUAUCAUGCUAAUUUAUUCACAAAUGAAUAUUGCAUGUAUGCCAAAAGCUUAGCACCACAUCUUCAAUAUCAUUGUUUAUAAAAUACAUUGCCCAUUCACAAUAUUUAAAAGUAAGUCAUUCUACCAGUUAGAUCUUGCCUCUGGAGAACCAGCAUCCUCGGUGUACUCUUAUUUAGUGCAGUGAUGUGUCCUGGUACAUUCCAUUCAGUGUACCUAGCUCAUUGAUGCAAUUUCAUUGUGUGAGUAUAAUGGAGAAGCUGAUGUCAAAGGUUUUAGUUAAAUUAAAACCACCUGCAAAGCACAUCUCAUUCACAACAACUCCUGCAGAGUAAGAGAGUAACAUUAAUACCUCUCUUCUCAAAUAUCCUUAUCUGUGAAGUGAGUGGGUCAGACCAGGAAGGUUCUCAGUUCUUACAGCUCUCAGAGUUGUUGAAGCUAUUUUGUAGUGUGGGGCCAAUAGGAACAAGGCAGAACCCAUGAACCCAGAGUCUGUUGGUAUCAGUUGCCCUUCAAGGUUACAUCUGAUUCCACCUCCCGGGUUUAGUAUUUACUAAUCUGUUUUGCCCUGUUGAGAAAGCACAAAAGAUUGGAGCUCAUUUUCAGGAAGGGAUGGUGACUGAAAAAACACCAGCCUACGGGCAAAAAUCAAAGAAAAUGGAAAUCAAAAUAAGGCUGUCCAGUAGGAGAAGUGAAUUCUUUAUCAUAGUUGUAAGCCCACAUCCUUCAAUGUUGACUUGGAAGAUUCCCAGACAGACACCUGCCUUCCUGUUUUAGGCACACCCUGUCCCCCAGCCCUUCUGCUUGCCUGUCAUCCCUCGGAGUGUGGUUUGUUUUCUCCAUUGGAUCGAUGCCUUUAAGUUUUGUGUUUCUUGUUCCUCUCGGUUCAUUGGGAUUGUGGUAAUGCUCCUUUCAGGAGCCUACAAUGGUUGCUCGACCACAACACACUUCCCAAAUGAAACACUGACAUGUUCAAAGCCACCUGGAAAGGGCCCCACCUCAUUUUUCUCAAACAACCCAGCAUGUAGAAGCCCUUCUUAAAUCAGACUUGACUCCCCAGUCUUGACACCUUUAAUAUGCUUACAUCUGACUAAUUUUCUUCUGGGGCACACUCUCACCUUCCUGCAUUAGUUUCUCCUUCCUUUCCUUUCUCCUAUUUUCUCUCCUCUUCCCCCCACUUCCCCUCCCUCCUUCCAUCCACUCACCUUUCUUUCUUCUUUCUUUCUCUUUCCUUUUCUUUCCCUUUCUCUUUCUUACUACUCCUGCUCUCCCUCCUCCCCUUUCUCCCUCUCUUUUUCUUUAAGUACCAUGUACCAAGUUCUGUGUGAGGUACUAGAAAGACCAAGAUAAUUUCAAGGGGUCAGCAAUUAGCACCCAGUAAUUCCAGUGCUUUCCUUCACUCCUGCAUGCUAAGCAGCUAGGCACUGACAACCAAGCUAGUUCGUCUUCAUCCCCAGGACUUAUUUGAAUGUGCCCUGGACCCUGCAGUCUUUUGAUCUCUGCCUGUGUGUCCUGUUUCGGUGAGGGUAGACUUGAAGCACUCCUUUCAGUAGGACUCUCUCGUCCACACUGGGACAAGACCACUGCUUAACUGAUCCUUGAGCAAGGGGAACGAUGAAAGAAAGCUGCUUGUUGUUGUCCGAGUGAUGUAGCAUUUCUGCAGUAGUUAGAAAUAGCAUUGUCUCUAAGGUGUCACAAAUUCAUUUCCUUUAAACAGUCAAUGUGGUAACUGUCUGUGACAUGUUCUAUUAUCUUUUCAGUUGUACUGAUGUUGCUUUCAGCUGGUCCUAUAGCCCCCUUUCUCAGGAAUGUCUCCCCAGGGAAAGGACAAAGACGGCAGAGACUGCUAGACUGAUGGACUGCUCAUGCCAACUGUGAAGUUGAAACAAAGCAACUGACCACCUGAAGAGACCCCUCCUGCACAGCAGCCACCCACAUGGUGCAGUGGCAGCCAAUAGUAAUCUUUACAAGAAACAGAAAAACCCAGCCCAUUCACGAGUCAAAAGCUUUCCUUUCCUUGUGUGUAUUUGUCUGUCUGUGUUCAGAUUCACAUGCCAUGCAUUUUUGAUCCUAGUAUGGACAUGCUUGUUAGUGCAAUUGUGUAAAGGCAACUUUGCCCAAGUGUGUUAAUGUAUGAAAAGACUGAUUUUCUGGGGAGACUGAUUUUUAUCAACAUACAGUAUUUGUUCCUGAGAGAGAUCUAGAAAGUGAAAGACAGUGUCAUCACAGGUGACCCACAGAGACCUCAUGCCACCACGCAGAAACACCACAUCAUGCCCCCAGACUCUGAGUGGCAAGCUUGGCUCUGUGAUGUAUGGCAGCUGCUUCCAAGGGUGGAAAUCAAACUGGACAAGGGUACAUAAACUACCUAAAAUGUAGUGAUAAACAGAGUCAGUAGACAAUAAGAACAGAAACAAAACCAAAGACAAUGUGCUUAGAGGAGGCCAAAUUGGUUUGCCUAAGGAAGAAUGUUGCCCUAAAGAGAAAAUAUGAAAACAACCUUUAAGGAUGUUAAAAAAAAUACAUAAAUGGGAAAGUAGGAGAAAAUAGAGUCCUGAAGGGCAUGGCAGAGGAAAUCCAUGUAGCGAGUUUUGGAGAUUGCAAAUCGUCCUGUCAACUUGACUUCACUCAACACUCAGCAUCCCUCUCUGUGUGUCUUGUAAAGAUGGUGCACACAUGUAUUUUCCCUCUCCCACCCCAGAAGUCACCUAAACCAAACUAGAACUAAAGAGCCAGUUCUCUGACACUAGAAGGAUGAAGGCAAUUGGUGGUACCUGUGUAGAACUCAUGAUUCUUCUGUUUGUAAUUGCUAGUUACCAAGUUUAUUCCUUGUAGGAAAUAAUUUGCAUAAUGAAUCUCAUGAGAGCUCUAAAAAAUUACACAUUGUUCCCACUUCCCAGGUGACGAAACUGAUUUUGAUGAGGUUACGUGCCUGGCCAAGGUGCUAUGUGUGGCUAUGAACAUUCAAGGUUGUGGUCACAAAGCUCAUGAGCUGGAGCCUGAAGUCAGACUUUGUGAUCAGUACCCACACUGCUGUCACUUUCCCCACAGCCCUUACUGUCUGUCCAUGGAAACAAAUAGCCCUUCUGCUUACUUAUAGUCUCGAUGCUCUCCACGUUUGUAUAUGAAUUACACCAGAAUGAUAAAAUGUAUUUUCACGACAGAAAAUUGAGAAUUUAGUGGAGGAGAGCCUGUCAGCAGUUUAGACAUUUCCUUUUGAUUUUGGUCAGACAUCAUGAAACUUUUGACUUAGUUCUGCAAAAAAAAAAAAAAAAAAAAAACUCUAGAAGUUUUAAGAGUAGUGGCCUUAAGUUCCCUGUCACAAUAUCUUUUUGAUAGAAAACAUAGAUCUAUAGUCUGUAAGCAGAGUAACUUUGAAAAAUAAAAACCAACCAACCCAAACAAACAAAACAAAACAAAGCAUAUAUUGGAAGUGUCCCAGCAAGGGACAGAUACAAGGCCCUCAGUUAUCAUUUCAUUGGCUUUUAAACUACUCCCUCCUGCCCUAAAGAAACAUGAACUUCUAUUUGAUUACAGAAGGUAUUCUGUCUAUAUGAUCAAGGAAUGCCUCAUAGACUGGAUCUAGUAGAUCUCUCCAGUUCCUUCCCUCUUUAGCACCUCACGUCAUUGUGAAGUACAGCUAUGAACUAGUGUAUUUGGGCCAAGAAGUUGUCAAUGAUCUGUCCCCAAAGAAUACAGAAUAGCGAGUUAUGUGUAUACUAUAUCUUUAAUGAUAUUCCCAAUCAUGUAGUCACUGUUCACCUGUACAGAUCCAAUCUCCCACUGUUCAUCUUCUCAACCCACUUGACCAAUGGUCAACUUUUGCAAAUGUUGUGAAUACUUAACCAUGACUAUUUCAGUAAUACUGAAAUAUUAACAAUGACCACUAGUCAUUUUGUGUUGUAAUCCUCAUUUAUGCAUGUAACUAAUUCAAGAUUCCUUUGGCCAUAAGAAACUAGAACUAAAAAUCCCAUUCUUGCUUCCAGCUACUCUGCAUUUGAUUGACAUUUAGCAGUGAUUAAUUAAUACAGUGGCCAUCUAGAUACCAUAGAUGUCUAAAUUGUGAUUUUUUUUGGCUGAAAGGAGAUGGUUAAGCUGGCUCUGCUAAGGGACAGAUGUCUAACUUUUUGAGAUACCUGGAUAUUUAACUGAUGUAACUUUCUACUUAGCUGUUUGACAUUGUCAUAAGCAGUCCCCAUCAUGGCUCUGGCUGUCUUGUUUUUUCAAAGUACUUGUUGGCUCUGUCUUACACUGUUCUCACUGACUUCAUAAGUAAACAGGUUUGUUGUUACCGAGUAGCCCAAGCACAAAGUGUGACUUCGUUGACAUCUGAGUCCUUGACUCCCAAUAAAAGAAAUGUUGCAUUAACUGUG